AACGAACGCUGGCGGCAGGCUUAACACAUGCAAGUCGAGCGCCCCGCAAGGGGAGCGGCAGACGGGUGAGUAACACGUGGGAACCUACCUGAAGGUACGGAACAACUCCGGGAAACUAGAGCUAAUACCGUAUGUGCCCGAAAGGGGAAAGAUUCAUCGCCUUCAGAUGGGCCCGCGUCAGAUUAGCUAGUUGGUGAGGUAACGGCUCACCAAGGCGACGAUCUGUAGCUGGUCUGAGAGGAUGAUCAGCCACACUGGGACUGAGACACGGCCCAGACUCCUACGGGAGGCAGCAGUGGGGAAUAUUGGACAAUGGGCGCAAGCCUGAUCCAGCCAUGCCGCGUGAGUGAUGACGGCCUUAGGGUUGUAAAGCUCUUUCGACGGGGACGAUAAUGACGGUACCCGUAGAAGAAGCCCCGGCUAACUUCGUGCCAGCAGCAGCCGCAGUAA
rnacentral:rRNA from 1 species